rnacentral:piRNA from 1 species
UAUAGCCUAGCCAUUUUUGCUACGCUGGUC